GAACAUGAUGGCAAGUUUGAACGAGAAAAUAAUUGAAGCUGCUCGUGAAGGAAGUUUAAGGGAUUUGAAACUAUGCAUUGAAAAGGGAGCGGAUUUGGAAUGUACAUCUACAAAUGGAUUUACACCAUUAUUGGUUGCCUCUGAGAAAGGACACCUAGAGACCAUCCAAUACCUUGUCACAGUCGGCUGUGACAAAGAAGCACGAACACCGAAG